GAUGAACGCUGGCGGCGUGCCUAAUACAUGCAAGUCGAGCGAAUGGAUUAAGAGCUUGCUCUUAUGAAGUUAGCGGCGGACGGGUGAGUAACACGUGGGUAACCUGCCCAUAAGACUGGGAUAACUCCGGGAAACCGGGGCUAAUACCGGAUAACAUUUUGAACCGCAUGGUUCGAAAUUGAAAGGCGGCUUCGGCUGUCACUUAUGGAUGGACCAGCGUCGCAUUAGCUAGGUGGUGAGGUAACGGCUCACCAAGGCAAAGAUGCGUAGCCGACCUGAGAGGGGGAUCGGCGACACUGGGACGGAGACACGGCCCAGACUCCUCCGGGAGGCAGCAGUAGGGAAUCUUCCGCAAUGGACGAAAGUCUGACGGAGCAACGCCGGGUGAGUGAUGAAGGCUUUCGGGUCGUAAAACUCUGUUGUUAGGGAAGAACAAGUGCUAGUUGAAUAAGCUGGCACCUUGACGGUACCUAACCAGAAAGCCACGGCUAACUACGUGCCAGCCGCCGCGGUAA
rnacentral:rRNA from 1 species